rnacentral:rRNA from 1 species
GGGUCAGUAGGUUGGUCGUGCCACCGGUACGUACUGGUCUCACUAAUUCCUCCUACCAGAAGAACCGUAAUGCCAUUAAUUUGGUGUUGCGGGGAAACAGGACUGUUACUUUGAAAAAAUUAGAGUGUUUAAAGCAAGCUAACGCUUGAAUACAUUAGCAUGGAAUAAUGAAAUAGGACGAUCGAUCCUAUUUUGUUGGUUUCUAGGAUUGACGUA